AUCAAAUACUAUUUUACCUACCACCAUCUACCACCAUCAUCUCAACCUCACAUCUCUCCAUCCAAUGGCUAAAAACUCAAAAGCACCACCCCCAUGAUGCUUUUGAGUGUAUUCUAGCUCAACUAUAUAUAUAUAUAUAUAGAGAGAGAGAGUUGAGCUAAAAUACUAUCGGUAGCAAACGGGCUUCAUUGCUACCUAUUUGUUUUCGAUGAUGGAGCAUCCAAAUCGAUGAUCGACAUCGCUGAAUAUGAUCUAUACCACUUGAAGUAUCUAGAAAUCAAAUUUCAUGUUUUUUCGAUAUUGUUCUCUUGUCUAUCAAGUGGGCGUAAAAAUGAACGGCUGAAAAUGAAUAUCUUCUAAAAAAUGACGAUAGGAAUUUUGUAAUCAAGAUCGAGAGUAUAGAUUUUAUUCUAAAUAGUUUAAAGAAUUUUCUAACCAAAAUUCAAUUGAUUUGGUUAGUUUUACACCGUUAAACGAGAAAAUGCCUUAUCUACCAUUAAAAUUAUAAAUUUUGAAACCCUUUGAUCAUUAGGUCAAUGAUGUCGAAAUGAUUUGAAAUUUGGUUUUUAGAUACUUCAAAUGGUAUAGAUCAUGUUCAACGGUGUCGAUCGUUAAUUUAAAGGCUCCAUCAUCGAAAACAAAUGGGUGGCAACGGAGCCGGUUUGCUACCGAUAGCAUUCCAGCUCAACUCUCUCUCUCUCUCUCUCUA
rnacentral:lncRNA from 1 species